rnacentral:lncRNA from 1 species
GGGGCGCUUUUUUGCACACACUGCCAUCUCACCCAGCAAGAUCCCAGCAAUCCCAUGGGAGACCCUCAGCGCUCAGCGCUCGGCGCCCGCCCCGGCGGCCCCGUACUGCCCAUGCCGGGGGCUGGGGCGGGGGGCGCUCGGCUCGGCUCCCCACGGGCUCCCGCCCCCCCAGCUGCGGCCCCGCUCCCCCGGGGCCUCGGCCCGCUACUUUGUGUCAGUUUCGGCCACGGCG